GACGAACGCUGGCGGCGUGCUUAACACAUGCAAGUCGAACGGAAAGGCCCUGCUUUUGUGCGUUGCUCGAGUGGCGAACGGGUGAGUAACACGCGAGUAACAUGACCUUGACUUAGGGAUAUCUCCAGGACACUGGGGCUAAUACCGGAUAGGAGCUCCUGAUGCCUGGUGGGGGUUGGAAAGUUUCGGCGGUGGGGGCUGUACUCGCAGCUUAUCAGCUUGUUGGUCAGGUAGUGGCUUACCACGGCUUUGACGGAUAGCCGGCCUGAGAGGGAGACCAGCCACGAGGGGCCUGAGGUACGGCCCAGACUCCUACCGGCGGCAGCGGUCGAGAAUGUCGCGCAAUAGACCGACGUCUGAUGCAACAACGUCCCGCGCGGGAUGACCGCCUACUGGUUGUAAACCGCUUUCUCCUGUGACAGUGAGUGAGUGACGGUAACGGGUAAGGAAGCACCGGCUAACUACGUG
rnacentral:rRNA from 1 species